UACGUAGGGCGCAAGCGUUGUCCGGAAUUAUUGGGCGUAAAGAGCUCGUAGGCGGUUUGUCACGUCGGAUGUGAAAGCCCGGGGCUUAACUCCGGGUCUGCAUUCGGUACGGGCAGACUAGAGUGUGGUAGGGGAGAUCGGAAUUCCUGGUGUAGCGGUGAAAUGCGCAGAUAUCAGGAGGAACACCGGUGGCGAAGGCGGAUCUCUGGGCCAUUACUGACGCUGAGGAGCGAAAGCGUGGGGAGCGAACAGG
rnacentral:rRNA from 1 species